AUGUACCACUCGUACACUGCGGUUCCUGCGCGCCGCGCGCACCCGCCUGACAACCGCUCGCUACGCUUUGUUGGCC
rnacentral:sRNA from 1 species